rnacentral:rRNA from 1 species
UACAGAGGUCUCAACCGUUGUUCGGAUUCAUUGGGCGUAAAGGGUGCGUAGGCGGUCGCGUAAGUCAGGUGUGAAAUCCCGGGGCUCAACCCCGGAACUGCACUUGAUACUGCGUGGCUAGGGUACUGGAGAGGAGACUGGAAUUUACGGUGUAGCAGUGAAAUGCGUAGAUAUCGUAAGGAAGACCAGUGGCGAGGGCGAGUCUCUGGACAGUUACCGACGCUGAGGCACGAAGGCCAGGGGAGCAAACGGG